CUCAAGAGAAAAGUUUCGAACAGGGCAGAAGUCCGAUGUUCACGUCUGUGUUUCUUCUGUGGUAGUCAGGAGAAGAUUAAAAGAUGCACAUUUGAAGUCCUGACGUCAGAGAUCACGUGGCAUGCAAUGUCCACAGCAACAUCUUGUUCACUUAGCUGAUUAGUUUUUCUUUUGUUUUUAUAACUCCGAGAGAUAUUGGAGGAAAUAUAUGGGAUUAAAUGCACCUUUAAACAACGAUAAAUGAAUAAGACAACUAAGCUCACAAGCUACUUCGUAACCAGCAGCUAGCUGAAGUAUCACUGUCGUUCAUUGGUUGUUGACAGAUACAGUCACGGACAUCCGGUACCUUUGCCAACUUGUGCUCAAUCAUGGCCACCACGGGAGCCUGCGGUGUAAGGAGGAGUGUUGCUUUCAUCAAAUCCCUACUACAGAGCGAACAAGGCUUGUUCUGAUUGGCCGGCCCUGGGGAAAGGAGAUAUCAUGUUUAGCCCCAAACCAACAUGCAUCCCUCAUCCACCAUGCUCCGCCACAACGAUUGUGUGUCUUUCUGUGUGUGUGUGUGUGUGUGUGUGUGUGUGUGUGUGAGAGUGAGAGAGAAAGAGAGAAAUAGCACAAGAGAGAGUCAGAGGGAGGUCUGCGCGUUCAGGCGAUCACACACUCUCGCUCUUUCUGCUAAAGUGCUUCUCGUCUGCCCGGCCGAAGCUGAUGAGCUAUGACAUCACAGCACUUUGUUUUAUCUUUAAAAGAUGAGCAGGGAGCCCUUCACUUCCCCUUAAUGAGGCCGAGGUGCCCACACACACACACACACACACUACAUGGUGAGUAUGCAUGUGUGUGUCCGUGCUUGGUCCACCGUUCCCCGCCACUAAUGUUGUUGCGUGCAAACGCCGCGCUAAGGUGCGGGCGCGCUUCUGGUUUCCUGCACACUCUCGCUAACACCCAUUUUACCCAUAACCCCUGGCGUUUCCUGUCCUGCAGCCAUGUGUCAGACCUCAUUGGCUAGCGCAUCAAUAACACACACGCUCGCUCACAUCCCGACAUCACAUCCUACUGGCAACAUAUCUCCACACACCGCUUCACCACAUUUCUGUGGCUAUCAGGUCCAGUUGGAUUUUGUUACUUCCAUCUUUGAUGAGAGUUCAUUAUUCCACAUUGAAAAUAAUAGAAGUAGAAAUCAUCUGUUCCAGUGUCAAACUGUAUUUAAAACUUGCCUGGGUUCAAACCAGGGUCAGCAGAAUGGGAGUCAAGAGUGCAAGCCGUCGAGCUGUCAACUUUGAUGAUGCUUAAGGUGUCAGGUGUUAGUAGUCAA